GAACACUAUAAACAAAACGUUUCUGACUUAACGCUCUUUGAUCAACAUGAAGGCAACCACGAUGCUCGUCGGUUUGUUUCUUGUACUGACUGCACUUUGGCAAUAUGCAGAUGCCAAAGCAUGUCAACAUGGUUUUGUCAGUUACCAAAACAGCUGUUACUGGUUUUCACCCAAAUCGACGGUCGCAUCAUGGAUAGAAGCACAAGGAUAUUGUGAACGCAUGAAUUCCUACCUUGUUAUUAUUACGACAGCCCGAGAAAAUAGCUUCAUCCGGGGACAUUUGUUAAGAAAAGCAAAGGGUAAAAAAUUGUAUAUAUAUAUAUUUAGUCACAAAGUGAAUACUGAAUGACGCUAGGCUUAUAUUUUGAGAUUGAUUUCUGACACCCGAUAGCCGAUUUUUCUUGUCAGGUAACAACCUCUUGUUGUUGUUGUUGUCGUUGUUGUUGUUGUUGUUGUUCUCUCUCUCUCUCU